rnacentral:rRNA from 1 species
UGGGGAAUAUUGCACAAUGGAGGGAACUCUGAUGCAGCGACGCCGCGUGAACGAAGAAGGCUUUCGAGUCGUAAUGUUCUUUUAUAUGGGAAGAUAAUGACGGUACCAUAAGAAAAAGCCCCGGCUAACUACGUGCCAGCAGCCGCGGUAAUACGUAGGGGGCUAGCGUUGUCCGGAAUCACUGGGCGUAAAGGGUUCGCAGGCGGAAAUGCAAGUCAGGUGUAAAGGGCAGUAGCUUAACUACUGUAAGCAUUUGAAACUGCAUAUCUUGAGAAGAGUAGAGGUAAGUGGAAUUUUUAGUGUAGCGGUGAAAUGCGUAGAUAUUAAAAAGAAUACCGGUGGCGAAGGCGACUUACUGGGCUCAUUCUGACGCUGAGGAACGAAAGCGUGGGUAGCAAACAGG